rnacentral:lncRNA from 1 species
AGAUAGCUUCAAUAACCCUAGCCGCCACAACCUUCUAUGAACACAUUAUCACCACCCGCCCCCCCCGGCCAAGUUGGAGAGGGAAGAAUAAACCCCUAACUUGCUUAGAAGCUCACGAUGAGAAGACCCAUAAAGAGGUUUAGUAAAGAUGUCCACUAACUGAGAACGAGUGGGAAGAAAAGAGAGAGAGAAAUGAGGGCAGAUUGAAACUGCUCACGGAUGAAAUGGCAAACAAGUUCGACGUGUUUCGUCCGCUCGUGAAAUACAAGAUUUUUGGCGACGUAAGUCGCGCCUUGGCUAUCAAAAUGAAGAGGAAUAGGCAAAGUGGAAGGUACAAAGAGAUAUGUAGGGAGGUGAGACAACCAAGUUAAAUCUGCAACUACACUGUGCAUAGAUAUGUACUCUGCCUCGACAGAUGACAAAGAAACUGCAGGUUGUUUAUAGGAUUUCCAAAAAGAGGGAAAACCGCCCAAACUGAUAAAGAAACCACUGAUGCAGUGUCGGGAAACAAGACAGAUUAAUUCUCUAAUCCGAGUCACAAAAAGUAAGAAGAUCAAAAGAAGGGGAAGAGGUCAUGAAAAGUUCAAGACCGGGGUUCUUGAGAAGAUAGUGAAGGCAAUGCAUGACAGCAUCCAUAUGGAGAGAACGACGAUAUUGCAUAAAUUGGGAAAGGUGUUGAACAACAAAGGAAAGAUUCGUUCUAGUGUGAGUCAAAAAAUUGAGCGUACCAAGAAACCGGCGGUAAAAGGAAGGAUCAGAAAGAAGAGGGCUAACCCCGGCAAACAAAUUAUGAUUUGGAUCCAAAGGUGAAUUUACUGGAGAAGGGUCCAGAAGAGCAAAUUCAGUGAGCAACUCAAGGUCAAACUUGUGUUGGCUAAUGACCAAACUAGUGGGCUCCCGUAAGAUCUCCAUACCUAGAAAAAACUGUUUCACUUCUUUCAAUUCUUGCUUAUUAUUUCUAGUGAAAAAGGUGUCACCAAUGUACACUGCCAUUAGAUUUAAGUUUCACCUUGUAAAGCCAUUUACAGAGUUGAGCCUUUCUCCCAGGCAGUAGAGAUACUACUUCCCAAGUCUCAUUCUCCAAUAAAGCAUCUAGUUCCUUAGCCCUGGCUUCUUGCUAGCCAAAAUAGGUAACAACUUGAGAAAAUGUGCUAGACUCCUGAAUAUAGGAGAUAGAAUUAACAAUUUAUCGAUUGGAAUAAGAAAGGGAAGAGAAGGAAAUAACAAUAUGAGAUAUAGAUAAAAGAAAAUAUGGGUUAAAUACAUUUAUAAGAUGGAUAACACCACAUAUAGAAUCUGAAAGGUAGGAAGAUGUCUUAUGUUCUCUUAAGGACCUGUGCAAAGGGGUUUUAGAAGUAAUUGGAGAAGUGAAUUAUGUAUAGGUGGCAUAGGAAAAGGAGAAAGGAUGGUGGUGAAGGAAGGGUGAAGGUGCAGAACAAGAAGAUGAUGGGGUAAAAGAUGACCUGAAUAUAGGAAUAGGAGAGGAAGGAGAGGAGAAGGGGAAGAACUAAAAGAUGAAUCAGCAACAUGUGGAGAACUAGGAGUAAGGGAAGAAGUAGGAGACGAGGAAGGUAUAGAUAAAGGAUAGGAAGAAAAGGUACAGUAGGGGAAUCAGGAAAUAGUGGAGGAGAAAUAGAAGGUAGAAUAGAGAAGGGGAAGAUAAAUUUGUGGAAAACAAUAUUCCUAGAAAUAAAUAUAUUGUUAGUUUGCAACUUCAAUAACUUGUAACCUUUCUUGCCAUAGGGGUAACUAAGAAAGACACAAAUAGUAGCCCAAGGAUUAAGUUUUCCUAUAUCUUGGGACAAAUUAGAUGCAAAACAUAAGAAACCAAAAUAUUUAAGAAAAUUAUAAUUAGGAGAUUUUCCAAACAUAACCGCAUAUGGUGUUUUGCAAUGAAACAAUUUGGUAGGAUAUCUGUUGAUAAUUGUCAAGAGACACUCACCCCAGUACGUAGUAGGAACUUUAGAUUAUAGUAGCAAAGCUCUAUAGGUUUCAAGCAAGUGUUUCUCUUUCCUUUCAAAAAUACUAUUUUGUUGAGGGUGUAGCCACACAACUAGUUUAGUGAAGGAUACAUUUGGAUUGAAAAUAGAUGGCAGCAGUAGAGCCACUCCCCAACUCUAAGGCAUUAUCAGAUCUAAUGACUUUAAUUUUGGUGUCAAAUUGCCUUUAUGCCACAGUAAUAAAAGAUUUAAUAAUAGUAAAAGCAUUUUCUUUGGUUCUCAAAAGAUAGUCCAAGUACACCCUAUUAAAAUUAUCAACUAUAGUAAGGAAGUACUUAAAACAAUCAUUAGGUUCAUAAGAAGGCACUCCUUCCAAUAUCUCAGUUGCUCUUUGAGAUAGAUAACAAAGUGUUGUUUCCCCGUGCUGAGAGAAGAUUUAUUGCAUCCAAAGCUGACAUGUUCCUUAUGGAAGCCUUGGAUAAUCUUACCACCAUCAAUCUACCUGGCAUAAUGAUUGAACAUAUAUAUAAGGUGGCAAACCUUAAGGAUGGGAAUCGUGGGUUACCUUAUGAUUUUCUUCUCACAAAGGUCUUUGAGUUCUUCAAAGUACCUCCUCGACAUGCCAAAGUGGGCACUAAAGAGCAAUACUUUUCAAAAAACGCUCUUGAGGAGUGUGAGUGCAUUGACAAGUUCGGAGGACUUGGAACCACUUCCACUAUCUCUCAGUUGAUAAAUGCUCAGAAUAUUGCCACAGAAGAGAUCCAAAAGUUGAAGUCUAGGAACGCGAUUCUUGAGAGUCGGCUUAGUUAGUUACAAGAGGCACCUGGUUCUAGUAGUUCUCAUAGUUCAGAGGUUGCACGCCUAACGAUGGAAAAUGUUUAAUUCGGGAAAUAGGUGGAGGACCUGAAAUAAAGACUGCUCAAUGAGAAAAUAUCCACAAAUGCUCGCAUGGAUCUUGUUCUCUAAACCUUUGCUUCCUCUUCAAAGCCCCCUUCCUCCAGUGCCCCAUAAAGGAUGUCCCCUCAGUAUCAAGUUUCCAGUGUCCAUCUUCUUAGUUGUAAUUAUUUCUAGUAAUUUUUUUUGUUUGUUUUAAAAUUAUGGAUGAUAACAAUAAUUCUUCUCCCGCCUGUAAAGGUCCAAAUUUGGUUAAUGCAAGUGAUUUUCUUUUGUUUUUUAUGUUACUACUAUUUUUUUUCUAUUUUCUAUCGUGUUGUGUGCACACAAGUGGAAUGAGUUAACCACGCUAGACUUUUUUAUGUUGCUUACUUGUUCUGUGCUAUUUUAUGAUGCCAAAAGGGGGAAGAUUAAAUUGAAUAAUAAAGAGAAUAAAUGAAUAAUAAUAUGAAGGGGGCCAGCGGGAACUCAUUGAGGUUCAGGUACAGAUUAAGGGGAAACUUAAGGUCAUUCGGGUUCCCUGUCUGGUUCUAUGUGGCUCUUUAUGGGAUUUUCAAUUAUGCGUUUGUCAUUAUCAAAAAGGGAAAAAUUGAUAGAUUACAAGUACUUUGGUCAUAAGUACUUUAUUUCUAACAAACUUACUAUCCAGAACCAGAUAAGGAACAUGUUACACAUUCAUAAGACCUUAAAAUCACAAAGUUCCAGCUUAGGAUAUGGCAAAUCUUCAGAGUAGAAGGAAUAGCUGAGGGAACAGGUCCCUACCAAUUCCCGAGGAGACUGUACGAAGUCAAUUCUCCAGUUGAAAAGUUUCUGCCGGCAUACGCUACAAUACAUGAACAGAGCAUCAAUCAACUUUCUGUGGAAGGCUUUUUACCUACAUUGCUUGUAUCAUUGUACGUGAUGUCACACAUAUAUUAUACAUCAAGGGGUAAAACACAUUCACUUGAACACUUAGAGUUUUUACUCGAACUCUCUCGCGUGAUCAUCGAGGAAGUAAUUCUCAAGUGAAUCAAGAAUAAAGAACAAAAUAAAUACAGACUAGUUCACACAUCAAGUUAUUGUAUUUACUUAGUUGUGUUGUAACUUUGUAAUAAUUCUUCAAGUGUAAUUCCUACAUAGCUUAUUUUGGAAGCAUUCUGUAAGAAAUCCUUUGUAAACCUUAAACCAAUGUGUUUGAGUCUUGGCUAGGGUUAGUCAAGUUACAAAGUCUAUGUAAUAGAGUUAUUACAAAGUGGCUUGUAAUAGAGUAUUAUAAGUUAAUAAGAUAUUAAGAGGUUAAUUUCUAAGUUACAUGGGUUGCAAUAUAAAAAUUGCCCAGUAGUAAAGUUGAAAUCCUACAAGGGUAGGUCAUGGUUUUUAAUCCCGUUGAGCUGAAAAUUUUCCACGCAAAAUUUCUCUUGUCAUUUAUUUACUGCAGUGUGCGUGUGUACUAUUGAACUUGAUAGAGAACCUGGUUCUCUAUAGAGUUUGGUAGACGCUUAUAUUCUAUCACCAUAGAUUGCCACAUGAAAUUUUAGCUAGAUAAUGAAGUGCAAAUAGACUGAUGACAAUUAUUUAUAGAUAAUAAGUUUGUCUUACGUGCAUGUGAUAAAAAUUGGGUGAAAAGUUUGCAUAAGAUAGAGUCCAUCUUUCACUCUACCAGGAUCCAGAGGCUUCCUCAAAGAAGGGUCUUGUAAGAAAGAAGAAGUAGCGGAGAAGGUAAGCAAGCUGUUAAAUUUUGAACAUAAUUUCUGAACUGAUAAUAGGUUGAAUUUGAAACUAAGAACUAAAAGGACUUUGUUUAGAGUUAAUUUAAGAUGAGUACAAGAUUGACCUGCAUGAGCGACUUUAAUCCUAAAAGAGUUAGAUAUGUUUACAAAAGUAGGCUGUUGUAAGGGCUUAAUGUUGAAUAAAAUGGACUCAUCAAAUAUGAUAUGUACUGAAGUCCCAGAGUCAAAUAUCCAAAAAUGAUAGAUAGAGUUUUUAGAAGUAGUUAAGAUAGUAAAGGAAAUAAUACUUGCAUAGUUAACUAUCAUAUUUUGUUUAAAGCUAGAUGUGUCUUGUUGUCAGUUUUAACCUCGUAUGGUAUCUAAUCAAUUGAUAAAUGUUCUCUUGAUUCAGUUCGAUAGUAACAUUAGUGCUUAGAGUCUAAGUAGAUUCUUCUUGAGUAUUUAUUGCAUUACUACGUGCUGAAUUAUAGAAUGUUGACUGUGUAUGCUGCCUUGAUUUUUUUUUCAUAAAACCUCCUUGUUGAAAAUUUGUGGGAUAAUCAUGGAGUUUGAAAUAUUUUUCUAUAGUAUGUCCUGGCGUUUUGCAAUACUUGUAACUAAAAUUAUUUCUCUUGUAGCCCUGAUAGGAGUUUGGCUUUGAGGUGUUGUCAGAUGCCCCUUGCUGCAGAUUGAACCUCUUAUUUUCUUGACCUAGGAUGGAUGAUUUUCUCGCAACAGAGAAAGAACUGGACGUUUUAGGUAAAUUUUUCAUAUGUUGUAUACUCAUUUUCCUCUCCUCUUGUAGUAACAGAAAGUAUGCUCGAUCAAUGUCUAAUGAGGAAUUCAUCAUUAAAAACAGUAUAUGUUUCAUUAAGUCUCAUAAAAAAUUACACUAUUUUUUGUCUUUUCUCAAGUUCAUUGUUUUUCUCCACACUUACAAUCAACACAACUACAUACUGCCCUAGCAUCGAGUAGAUCAAUUUCAUCCCAUAUACCUUUCAUGUUAUUAAAAUAUGUCGCGAUAUUGUUUCAUCCUUGUACAAUUUUCAUUAUUUGGUUUUAUAAUUUAAAUAAUUGUGCUAGGUUAGACUCUUCAUAUCUUUUUUCAAGCUAUUUUCACAAAUUAUGUGCAGAUUUGGAGUGAAUUACACUGCAUCUAAUUUCUUUGGUGAGAGAAUUCAACAGCCAAGCAAAUACAAUAUCAUUGCGUGUCAUCCAUAGAUUGGAAAAUUCAGAAUUUUUCUUUGGUUUUAGCUAGGUCUCAUCGAUGCAACCAAGCUUGUUAUCAGCAGAUAAGGAGACUAAAAUAGAUUUCCUCCAUGAUCCAUAUCUGGUGACGUCAAAAGCAGAAUAUACUAAAGCCACAUCUGGCGAGUCUGAUGCAUGGAGAUAGUAAAGACCAUAUUCAACCGAAAAAAUUAAAGAAUUUCUGAGAUUUCUAGAAGUUUCUGUAGAAGUCGAAAAUGGAUCUAGUGAAAUUGACUUGCUUAUACUAUAUAAACUUGGGGAAGAAGAAAAAUUAGUUUUAUUUUGCUCAAAAUGAAAUAUCUGUACAAUGUCACAUUACAUACACGCAUCAAUUAACCUAGCUGCCUAUCACAUAUUCAUUUAUAUUCCCACAUGUGUAUAAAUAAGUUAUGUUGAGUCACUACGAGAAAGUAUAUAAUUUGCAAUAAUUUUUUAGUAACAAUAAUGAUUGUUGCUAUAUAUCAAUAAAUGGCAACAACU